AAGCCUUGUAUAUGGGUGGAACAGCCGAAAGGCGUUCCGACGCGAGCUGUUAUGCGUGGUUAGCCCUAAGUACGGGGCUUUU
rnacentral:ncRNA from 1 species